rnacentral:ncRNA from 1 species
UUAAAAACAAGGAUAGGGACAGUGGGCAAUCGCGUACAUGCCAAAGCGAGCCGGGAGUGGUGGAAGCCCGGUGCAUGGGCUUGCCCUGAAUCGCCCUUGAGUUCUGCCUGCGAACCGCACAUAUGUUUAUCCAUUUGUGCUAGUAGUGGGGUGCGUGCUGCCUACGUUAACGGCGUGAAGUGGAAAAGGCGCUAGCGCUUUUUCUAUGAGGGUGGUACCGCGGGAAAACCUUCUCGUCCCUUUU